rnacentral:misc_RNA from 1 species
AUUGUUUGCCUCUAAGGAGCUCCCUAGACCUCAUUUUCAGGCGCUGUCUAGUACUAUUUGGCAUCUUCCAUUCUUCCUUAUAAGGGGCCAACUUUUUCAUAGAAACAAACUGAUUCAACUCCUUGUCAUCCAGUGCCAGGAUUUCAGCAGUACUCAAUCCAUAACGAUUAGGUGGUAUUUUGGCGUACUUAAACCUCGUCUUCAAAUCUCCAACUGUAUCCUCGUAAUCUAAUUUAUAAUAUUCCUCCAUCAUGGCUUCUUUAGCCUUUUUGUACAGAGAUAAUUUACGCUUCCUCUUUCUUUUGCUUUUUUCAUCCUCGUUGCCCUGUUCUUCAUCUUCUUCAUUAUCUUCAUUACUCAUAUCAUUAUCAAUUUUAUGCUUUAAACUCCUUUGCCUAGCUGCUAAGAAGCCAUCACCUGACUCAGAGGAAGCCCACCCUUUUGGCAAUCCA